rnacentral:rRNA from 1 species
AACAGACGAGGAGCUUUGCCUCUGACGUUAGCGGCGGACGGGUGAGUAACACGUGGAUAACCCACCUAUAAGACUGGGAUAACUUCGGGAAACCGGAGCUAAUACCGGAUAACAUGUUGAACCGCAUGGUUCAACAGUGAAAGACGGUCUUGCUGUCACUUAUAGAUGGAUCCGCGCCGCAUUAGCUAGUUGGUAAGGUAACGGCUUACCAAGGCAACGAUGCGUAGCCGACCUGAGAGGGUGAUCGGCCACACUGGAACUGAGACACGGUCCAGACUCCUACGGGAGGCAGCAGUAGGGAAUCUUCCGCAAUGGGCGAAAGCCUGACGGAGCAACGCCGCGUGAGUGAAGAAGGUCUUCGGAUCGUAAAACUCUGUUAUUAGGGAAGAACAAAUGUGUAAGUAACUAUGCACGUCUUGACGGUACCUAAUCAGAAAGCCACGGCUAACUACGUGCCAGCAGCCGCGGUAAUACGUAGGCGGCAAGCGUUAUCCGGAAUUAUUGGGCGUAAAGCGCGCGUAGGCGGUUUUUUAAGUCUGAUGUGAAAGCCCACGGCUCAACCGUGGAGGGUCAUUGGAAACUGGAAAACUUGAGUGCAGAAGAGGAAAGUGGAAUUCCAUGUGUAGCGGUGAAAUGCGCAGAGAUAUGGAGGAACACCAGUGGCGAAGGCGACUUUCUGGUCUGUAACUGACGCUGAUGUGCGAAAGCGUGGGGAUCAAACAGGAUUAGAUACCCUGGUAGUCCACGCCGUAAACGAUGAGUGCUAAGUGUUAGGGGGUUUCCGCCCCUUAGUGCUGCAGCUAACGCAUUAAGCGCUCCGCCUGGGGAGUACGACCGCAAGGUUG